rnacentral:rRNA from 1 species
GAUGAACGCUGGCGGCGUGCCUAAUACAUGCAAGUCGAGCGAACAGACGAGGAGCUUGCUCCUCUGACGUUAGCGGCGGACGGGUGAGUAACACGUGGAUAACCUAUCUAUAAGACUGGGAUAACUUCGGGAAACCGGAGCUCAUACCGGAUAAUAUAUUGAACCGCAUGGUUCAAUAGUGAAAGCCGGUUUUGCUGUCACUUAUAGAUGGAUCCGCGCCGCAUUAGCUAGUUGGUAAGGUAACGGCUUACCAAGGCAACGAUGCGUAGCCGACCUGAGAGGAUGAUCGGCCACACUGGAACUGAGACACGGUCCAGACUCCUACGGGAGGCAGCAGUAGGGAAUCUUCCGCAAUGGGCGAAAGCCUGACGGAGCAACGCCGCGUGAGUGAUGAAGGUCUUCGGAUCGUAAAGCUCUGUUAUUAGGGAAGAACAAAUGUGUGAGUAACUAUGCACGUCUUGACGGUACCUAAUCAGAAAGCCACGGCUAACUACGUG